rnacentral:rRNA from 1 species
UACGUAGGGAGCGAGCGUUGUCCGCAGUUACUGGGCGUAAAGCGCGUGUAGGCGGUCCGGUAAGUCCGCUGUGAAAGUCGGGGGCUCAACCCUCGAAUGCCGGUGGAUACUGUCGGGCUAGAGUGCGGAAGAGGCGAGUGGAAUUCCUGGUGUAGCGGUGAAAUGCGCAGAUAUCAGGAGGAACACCAAUUGCGAAGGCAGCUCGCUGGGACGUUACUGACGCUGAGACGCGAAAGCGUGGGGAGCAAACAGG